CAUGCAAGUCGAGCGGCCGUAGCAAUACGGCAGCGGCAGACGGGAGAGUAACACGUGGGAACGCGCCCUUCGGUCCGGGAUAACCCAGGGAAACUUGGGCUAAUACCGGAUACGCCCUUACGGGGAAAGAUUUAAUUGCCGAAGGAACGGCCCGCGUCCGAUUAGCUAGUUGGUGAGGUAACGGCUCACCAAGGCGACGAUCGGUAGCUGGUCUGAGAGGAUGACCAGCCUCACUGGGACUGAGACACGGCCCAGACUCCUACGGGAGGCAGCAGUGGGGAAUAUUGGACAAUGGGCGCAAGCCUGAUCCAGCCAUGCCGCGUGGGUGAUGAAGGCCCUAGGGUUGUAAAGCCCUUUCAGCGGGGAAGAUAAUGACGGUCCCGCAGAAGAAGCCCCGGCUAACUUCGUGCCAGCAGCCGCGGUAAUACGAAGGGGGCUAGCGUUGCUCGGAAUUACUGGGCGUAAAGCGCACGUAGGCGGCUUUCUAAGUCGGGGGUGAAAUCCUGGAGCUCAACUCCAGAACUGCCUUCGAUACUGGAAAGCUCGAGUCCGGGAGAGGUGAGUGGAACUGCGAGUGUAGAG
rnacentral:rRNA from 1 species